AACGAACGCUGGCGGCAGGCCUAACACAUGCCAGUCGAGCGGCCCCUUCGUGGUCAGCGGCGGACGCGGGAGUCACGCGUGGGACUAUGCCCUUCUCUACGGAAUAGUCCUUGGAAACUGGGGGUAAUGCCGUAUACGCUCUGUGGGUAAAACAUACAACGUGCUAGGAUGAGCACGCGUUGUAUUAGGCAGUUGGUGGCGUAAUGGCCUAUCACGCAGUCGAUACAUAGCUGGGUUGAGAGGAUGAUCAGCCACACUGGGACUGAGACACGGCCGGGACUCCUACGCGAGGCAGCAGAGGGUGAUCUUAGACUACCGCGGCAAUCAUGAAGUCGCCAUGCCUGGAGAGUGAUGAAGUCCGUAAGGAUGUAAAGCACGUUCAGAUGGGGAGAUAAUGACGGUACCAGCAGAAGAAGCACCGGCUAACUCCGUG
rnacentral:rRNA from 1 species